rnacentral:lncRNA from 1 species
GGCCGGGGAAGGGAGCGAGGGAGAAGAGCCCCUCGGAGCCCUGAGGAGUGCAGCAGAGCUGCUCUGAGCUGAGCGCGCCAGCUGCCCCUCCCUGUCCUCUACCUGCGCUCGCUCACUCCUCUGCCUCCUCCCCUGCCCCGCCCCCGCUCUACCUGAGCUCACCCUCCGCCCCCGCCCCGCCCCCCUAGGCACGCGCUGCCUCCGCUGCCGCAGGACGCGCCGGGCACCUGGCACCUGGCAGCCGCUGCGGGCACACCUCCCCAGCCAGCUACGUCCAGGCGGAGCCGUUCUGUCCGGGCAGGAGGCGGGCGCGCAGACGGCCGGCCAGGAAGCCCCACGGAGGGCAAGCGAGCAGAGACCGGAGCCGCCUAGGAGAACAAGUCCGGGGCCAGCUUUGCCUCCGGGCGCCCAGGCUGAGUCCGUGCCCCCAACAUGGCUUCCGCCGCCACAGCCGAAACAGCUCCGGGAGCCCAGGUUGAUAGCAUCCUCCAUCAUAAGUCCUUUGGAACUGCCUUGGAUCAUGCCAUUGUUGAGGAUCCUCAAGUGGAUUAGACUUGUUAAAAAAAAUAAAAGAAAGAAAGGCUGGUGUGGUACCAGCUUAGCCUGACAAAGGUAAGACUGAAUUAGAAUUUCACAGUUAAUUACAUAAACCAUGGACGAAUUUUUUAAUAGUAGAAUUGAUCUUAAUUACAAUCUGUUGACGG